GUUGCAGGGUCAAGACUUGUACUUCAUCACUCUCCACGUCUUUCUGUACGUCAAAACAUGUAACCUAGAGAUCCUCUGGAUAAUACAUGAAGCACAUGUUUACUGCAAACCAAAACAUAUUUACAACUGAUUGUGUUGUGCAAUAGAUUCAUCCUAAACUCCAUUUGCGGGAGCACUUUUAACAGAACCCUCAUUGAUUUGGUUUCCAGAGGAAUUGCAGCCCGGGAUCACUUUACCUUGUUACCUUGUCGCACAAUGUUCUGGUCUGAUCUCCAUGUCCAUUUCCGCUCCGCUUCCCCUCCUUCUCGCCGGCGCGCUGCCCGACAAGAGUUCUCUUUGUCCCCGUGGUCAGUCAUCCGUUCCUAAUAUCCAGACUUUUACCGCACGGGAGACGAGCUGCAUGCUUUCAGAGAGCAGAGCCGGCAGUUGAUGGCUGCACUCCAUCUUCCAAAGGAUGCUUUGAAGAAACCUCCGGGCUCAGUGACUAUGAAUAACAAGCAUUAAAUCAUCAGAUUUUUUUUUAUUUCACACACGUGUACAAAUACAAUUUAUACACCAUAAAAAUCACUUGUAGAUGCCACAUCAACCGUGCUUUAAUGAAUCAACUCAAGGGUAUGGUUGUAACUGUAAAAGUUGGCUUGAAAGUGCUUUAAGUAAAAAAAUUGAAAAAAAGAAUUACAUAUUGUAAUGUCUCACAACGCCUCUUAUGCCAGAUUUUAUAAAAUUGUCAAUAUUGUAAAUAAGUGUAGUGGUGAAGACAGUAGCUGAGGACCAUCAUUAGAAAUCAGAUUUUGCAAAUAUGUUUGCAGGCAAUAAAUUCAUCGGAACAUUCAAGCAAUAUCCGAAAACAGCCGGUGUAGAAAACGUGCGCUUACAAACGCAACGGUGCCGUUUGUCCAGUCUCUCCCUCAGGUAAAAACAGUAAACAGACAUUUGAAAAACGCGAGGGGCUUGAGUACAGUGUAAUGAUGUUUCAGGUAGAAAGAUGCCAUGCAGAGAGAUACCAUCAACACAAGAGAGCUCCUUCUAUUGCAUUAGCUAAAGGCACCGAUAUCUCCAUGUAAAUAACUUCGUUUCGGCCGCUGCCAGGCAAAGAAAAUACAAUUGCUAGCUGUUAGCGCGGCCCCGCGCGCCUGGUAGCUGAGGGAAAGUGGCUCCGACAGUCAAUGGCAGCGGGGAGGCUGCGCCUGUGCGCUCUUUAAUUUGUUAUCGUCUCCCUGUGCGACGGAGCAUAUUAAUAAAGCACCUCAGAGCUGCACUUUCUAAACAGACCGUAAAUCACUGCACAUUCAACCCACGCAGGCGGGUAAUCGUACAGGUGGAGGCCACCGGCUUUUAACCGCCACAAUUAACACGUGAAACACUUCACUCGGGAAGCGAUGUGACACAAUCAGCUGGCGUAAUGAUUAGUUAAUGGCUGGUGUAAAGUGUGGGCCGGCCCUAGAAAUUCAAAACAAGAGAAAGUUAAUCAGCCUAAUUGAAACCAUUUGGUAUUAACAUAAUAUUACCACUGCAGAAUCGGGGAUCUUUCAAUAAAUGCUCACUGAAAACGUAUGUUUGAGCUAAAUUAGUUUCCUUUUUUUUUUUGCAUCUGAAUAAUUGUAAUUAAGAAUGCUUCCUCUCCCCGCAGAGCCACCUCGGUUGCCAUUUCGUUGACUGACACACACACACACACGCUGUCAGUUGCUGAGGAAGAUGCUGUGAAUGGUGUUUGCUGGGAUUUUGGCAUCUUCUUCCUCCCCGCUGAUUCUGAAGAUCACAGCGGUGUUGGAGGGGAUGGUGAUGGAGGCGUUCAGGGAUUUACCCAGCCAGCUCUGAGAUCCACGCUUGUACAUUUUGACGGUCACCUGCAGAGUAGCACAGAGAUCGGGUCACCAUUGAGAUCGUAAAGCGAACCGUCAUACAGAAGCAGGGGUGCUGUUCUUGGAUACAGAACAAGGCUCUUGGAGGCGACCCCCGGGACCUCGGCCUGGAGCAAAGCAGGCGCUCACGACUUUCACAUUUGACCUCUACGUGGACGAGCUGUUGCUUUGUCUGCGGGUUUGUCGGCUGAAGAUCGACAUAAACACUGAUCAUGAGGUCUGAGAGCGGAUCAAAUUAAAACGUCCGUCAAUCUCUAGUUUGAACUAAUAUUGAUUUGAGGUAAAUAUGUUCUUCUUAGACAAACUUUAUCGAUUAUUAUUUAUUUGAGGGUCCGUUACAGUUUUAAACGUGUGUCUAGUUUUCUACUAAAUAUAUUAGAGAGUAAAACUAAUACCUUCUCCCUUUUAUUGGAAGAUAACGCUUUAACAAAGAUCCUCCUUAGGAACCAAUUAGUCAUCCACUGAAAUAGAGUUAAAAAAAAGGAAUAUUUUUCACAACCCUGCAGGAUUUUUGUGAAAGGAUUUUGGAACGACUUUCUGAAACAGAAUAAAUAUUAAAUUAACCUCGUUCUCACUCUGAGCUUUUUUUAAUUCCCCUCCAUAUCUCAAAUGGAGACACCUCUCUUGAUUUUUCUGUAGGUUGUAGGCCAUAAUACGCUUUAACAUUACACCAAUACCGCCUGCUAUGUUUGAGCCUGACAAUAGAAGCCUUAACUAGAUUUAGACAUGCAGGUAAUUGAACCACAUCCAUUUCAAAAAGAAUGCCUCGCUGCAUCUCUUGUUUGGCUGCAUUUACAGGGCAUAACAGAAUAGUACGGCGCCUUUUCACAGUUCCAUUUUCUUUCACUUUAGCAUUAGGCAAUUUUUCAAUUAUUUUUUUUCCAUGUUCUUUCAUCCGCGGCUUUCCAUAAUGUCUGGGCCUUUUAGUUAAUGGUAGCGACAGUCAGAGCCCAGUAUAUCGGCCCUUGUCCAUUUUGCAGGUCAUUGUGGGAGCCCAAUAGGCCUUUUAUUACACCGACAUCAAAAGGCAGAUAAGCAUUAGAGGUGGGGAGAAUACCCUGCACUAGAUAUGUUCCCUCUUUCCUUUGUCUGCUAUUGAAAGUGAUCAUUUUAAUAGUGAAGAGGUUGGUGAGCUUUGGGGCUGAUGGGAAGUGCGACACCCCUGACGGCCUACGAAUAUGAGCGAAGUCGAUAACACAACACGAGCACACAGCACACCCUCAACACCUGCGCACUCUCGCUGCUAACCUAAUUAUCUGCAACAAAGGCCGGUGCCAUUUCAGACACAUCUUUCCACCAUUUACUUACUUAUUACUGCGCAUUAAAACAGGGAGAAAACGAGGAAACCCCCCGGAACAAUUGUGUCUUAUAUUGCAGCCACGGAGCCAUGGCCGAAUGCCACAUGGCUUGUGUUACAAUAGCAUCAGACACUUCAGAAUGAGUGUCUUUUAAUUUAGAAUGCAUGAAAAAAAUGUGGUCAUGACAGCUGGUGGCAGGGAGGCACAUAAACCAACACAAAGACACCAAAAAGGGAUUAUUCUAUCAAAUCACACACACAAACCUAAUAGCAGUAAUCUGCAAUUAACUCAUUUGAUGGUAAGUAAAGUUGAGUGCGUCCGUCUUUGUGGCACAGACACAAUACUGUUUUUGCAUCACAUUAAAAAAAAACGACAGGCAGAAGAAAAAAUAUUCACGUAUAGCCGGAGCAGCAGGAGAGGCUAUGAAGCACACAUGCUGCCUACGUGGGAAAGCAUCAUAAAGCAUUUACCUCCAUGAUUAAAGAAUUAAAGAAAAAUGUGUGAACUCUGCAUCUAUAUCCUGAUCUGCUUUGGACAGCAUCGAAUUCCUGUCGGAGGAUGUCAUGUUUUUGUACAAGGAUUCAUUGUGGAUGAAUUGAAUUCUAUUUUUUGUAGCAUUGACUGAAGGACUGAAUGCCAUCAAAUUGCUAAAUCAUUUAGAGUUGAUAUGUGCAUAUGGAAUCUUAUUGUAAUUAGUUACUAACUACACAUGUAGUUAGUUUGCACAGAUGUGUAAAUAACUCAAGCUGCUUACUGUAAUCUGGAAAGUUAUUAUUAGAAAAUGAUAGUAUAUUUGAAUUAAAUAUCAGAUUGAACAUCAAAUAAUAAAUAUCAGAUCAUUAGUAUUAUUAAUAUUAUUGGGAGUUUACCACGGAACCUGCAGUUUGGGGCUAAAAUGAUGUAUUACAUACCAACAUAUUCACUGUGAACCACACAGUUAAACCCAGAUGUUUUAACCAAAACAUAAAUGAUUGUAUCCUUUGAAAUCAAGGGAACCUGAAGUGAUGUGAUUAACUGCUGGACUCGGCCGUGUUGCGACACACACAGGAAGGAAGCGUGCAGCCGUCUUUGGCAGAAGCUCAAAUUCUGUGUGGUCGAGGUCGCCCGGCAGCUGUUGUUGAGCAGAGCACGCGUGUGUGUGUGUGUGUGUCAGGUACAGUAACUGUCACUGCGCGUUCUCAGUCUCAGUCACUUGAGCCAAGUGUCUCAGGGUAAAGACAACACUGUAUCUAAAUGGCAUCAGAAUAAAGUGUAAAAGGAGUAGCUUACAUUAAAAAAUAUAUAUAUAUAUAUAUUUGUUUUGUGCAAACUGCAUGCUAACGGCAGCAGCCACAUCUGCACAUCGAUCACCCAGACAAAGAAAAAUCAAUAGUUGGGGAAAAUAAUGUCUCCCUUUUGACAGUGAAAUGUCCACAAGUGUACCAGAAUCAUUACCAUUACAAGCACAGACAGGCCUGAAUGUGUGUGUAACACCUAAUGGGGAAGGCAGGUCCCUUGGGGCGAAGGUUGGGUGUCACACAAAGGGCUAAGAGCUCACCUAACGGAGUCUACCCCCGAUCCGCCUCUCACUUUCGGUGUGUGUCGGGGGCGGGGGGGUGAAUGAGAUCACUCCUCACAUUUCAGCCAGACAAACUCCGUCUUCUUAUUUACCGUCUGCUAACAGUCGUGAAUCCUGCCUCUGGUUCACCGUUCACCUUUUGCCCUCUUCAACUCCAGAGCACAGCUCCUUCUGACGUCUCCUCACCUGCCGGCUCACACGGGUCUCGCCGGUUCGCCCGUCGUCUCCCUGUAGGGACGUCUUUGCGCUGUGACUUCGCACAUCUUAAUUAUUUAAUUAUAAAAGCAAUUAAUUUGCGAUCAGAGGUCUGACGAACCCCAAUAACGCGGAGAACCGCAGACAUUGGGUAUCGGGACGUGUCAACACCUGUGUGUGUAUUGCCAUUCAUAAAGUUCAGAUUCCCCCUGCUGAUAAAGGCCAAAGAACCCCAGCGGGGUAUCAGUCAGCGGGGGGUGGAGGGGCGUCACCUGGAGCAAUGGGUGCAGUGUUUCAGCUGAACUCUGAGCGAGCGUAACGCCACACCGGCUUCAGACGGCGCGCUCUUUGUUUCCGGGCCGUGUCUCACCAGACACAGACGGGGAGGAACACCGGGUAACACACCUGUGUGACGACGCGCCAAAUGGGAUGGGAGCUGCCGAGAGGGGUGGCGGUUUUGGGACGCAUUUAAACAGGCAAUUAGGUAAACACUAGUGUGACCUAAAUUAACAACGUGCUGAGAGAGUGAAGAUGGGUGUCAAAGAGGCUGAUGUAUCAAUCGCUCUGGAUGCUUUCUUUUUUUCAUUUUUUAUUAACUGAAAGUAAAUCAAUCGCGAUCUUCAAAGUGCUGGUUUUAAAUGAACCAUGUGAUCAAAAGCAGCAGCUCCAGAUGUGGAGCGAAAAGCAGGAAAUCCCUGCGUUUGUGGGUCUGCAACCAGUGAGUUCUUAACAAAAAAAACAACCUCAUGGGUUCAUUCAUUUUAUUCAUCAAAAAUGCACUUUAGCACGAAAAAGGAGGAAUUAAUUAGUAUGAGUCCAAUAACUUAUUGUCCAACAAAUCACCUGAACAAAAUCCUCAAACGUCAAAAUGGAGCUCCAGGUGUGUCCCAUUUAUCAAGACGCCGGAACUGUGUGACAUGACCGACCACGUCAACAAAUACAUUUGUCUAAACCGAUGAACGAGAAACAUUGCUGGUUAAGUACUGAAUAGCUACUUCUGCUUCCAACCAACCUGCCUCAGCUAACAGGAAGCCAUUAGGCUGUCGGCAACAACCAUUUACAUCCAUUCACCCGGCUCGGACUUUAUUUCCAUCCACAUAAGUGCAUUUUCUGCGGGAGGUUAAAAUAUGAAUCCCCCUCCUUUUUUUCCCUCAAUGGGUCUGGUUGUCUGGCCGACUUGAGGGGGGGCACAAUCUAUGACUGAUUUAAUUUGCUCUUUACGAACAUCUCUAACAGCAUUACCCCCCAGAGCAUACAGUGACUGCCCCCAUCUGACUCCAUUAACUCCCAAAUCGGGUUUAAAGACCAUAUUGAUGCCGUCCGUUAUUAAGGGUGAUUAUCAAAACAACAGACAAUGGGCCAAAGUGUCUGUUAACUAGCUUAUCCAUAAUUUCACGUAACUGUAACAGAUGGCAAGGCUGUCAAUUACAUGCUGUAUCUGCUGCGCGCACAGCGGCCACACACUGUCUGGAUAUGCAGCGUAUUAGCCUUCACAUUAAAAGAACGAUAGUCUGCUGUCAGAGGAAAUGAACUAGGCGGGCAAAAUAAACUACCGUGUUAAAUGUCGAACAUGCGUCAUUAUGAGAAAACAGCGAGAACUUUUACCAUUACCAAAAGACGUAUUUUUUUUUUUUUUCCAGAUAUCACCGGGGGGAGGGGUUCUAUUUAAUAAUGAUAAAAUAAAAUAAAAAAAGUCAGAGAUAAAAUUUUUGCCAGUCCACUUCACCACCUUUAUUCUCCUCAAUUAACGAGAAUGGCUUUUGAAGCUGUAAUUAAGUGUCUCUGCUCCACUCGGCCUCUUCAUUAUUCAUGACUCCCCAUUGAUCAUAUCUUACAAGCUACACUGUGGGGACCGCUGUAAUAUCCUGAAUCCCCAAAACAAAUAGCUGAGCUGCCCGAGUUAAAAUGAACAUCUUGGCCAGUGACCAAAGAAAAGUCUCCAUUAGAUACUAAAUCUAGCUUUUGAUGCUAAAUUGGAUGAUGGUCAGCGAAUCAUUAAUAGGAAAAAUCUUGUAUGCAGCUUUUGGUCUUAUUAAAUAUAUCAGAGCAAAGGUCUGGGUAAUAAUGAAAUAGGAUCCUUUAUUGAACUCACGUGGAGCCAUAUUAGUAGGCUAUGAUCAUAUCACUGUUGCAACUAACGAUUAUUUCAUUACCAGUUAAUCCGCCCGUUAUUUUCUUAAUUAAUCAUUUUGUCAAUAGAAUAGUGUAGAAAUGCUGAAAUCAGUUUCCCGGAGCCCAAAGUCAUCUUACCGCUUGUUUUAUCCAACUACUAGUGAAAAACUCUAUUGUCAUAUUACUGUAUUAGUACAGUGCAAUAAUAUCAAAUAGUAUAUUUUACAAUUUUAUAUUAUUGUACUGUACACCACGAUGAAAUAAACCUUACAAACAUACAAGAUAUAUGGGUGUUACACAUUUACCGGUGUCUGGCAAAACCGCAGCUCAUUUCACAUUCAAAGCAUAUUAAUGGCUUGGGCCUUUAUUUUAAACAUGUAUUCAAAUUUCCUGAAAUGCAAUCUCCACGUGUGUUAAGUAGGAAUGUGUAAAACAUGAACUCUACUGGUUGAUGUUUAACUAAAUUAACAAAAGAGCGCUUGAAGAGCCCUCAAACACGCCUGGUAUUACGUGCUGGGGUGGGAAUUUGGAGGAAACACAUCGAGUCAUCUUCAAUUUGACAGAUGCAGAAUCUCUCCACGGGACUCUUCACUGUGGCUUAGUGCUUGAGUGAAAAAAUAGAUUUUUACCAAGUUUAAUCACACGCUAUUACAAGGCAGCUUUUAUCAUUGCCUUCCACUGCGUAAGUGCUGGUGUCUUCACUAGUUCAUUACGGACACUUGUGAUGCUGCAGCACCCUUCUCAUGUGUAAUUGCAUGGUUAGCUUUCCUCUGUAGCUUCACACACACACACACACACACACACACUCCGCAAAUUAUUUCCAAUUCCAGUUUUCCGAAGAGAGCAAUGCUGCAAUCACAGAAAACUGAACAUCCCGCUUAUCUCCCCACAAUUUUCUUUUAUUUCUUUAGUACAGAAAAUCAUUCUUUCACCAGUCGGGUUCUUGAUGAACCCGAUGAACGCUGAACUCUAAGGGACUGGAAAUCUGAUUUAAGUGCACUUACUGCGAGAAACAACUUAAAUAUCUUUGGUAACGGAAAAUACACAUUUCUGUGUUGUUUUUGUGGUCAGCAGCAUUCACUCACAAGUACACAGGCUUUUAAAGUAAUUACAGGCACUGCCACGUUCGUACAGUCAUUUGUUAAGAAAAUCACAUUUUAUAGAGCAUAUAAAAGGAUUCUGACAUACAGGUGAAUGGCAUGUUUUAUAAAUAUAAAUAGGGGCUACCUAUAUUUUCUGUCAAGGGGGAAAUAAUCCCCCCCCUCUACAUAAAAAGAAAGCAAAAAGCUGCAGCGGCUGCCAACAUUAUCUAUUUAGACAGCAGAAUUUGCAGGGCUUUGUAAACGUCCGGCUCCUGGCCCUUUGUGCGCCUCCAUUCAUUACCACCACAAAGCAGUUGAUGUCUCCCCUCUCUGCCUUUUCUGUGCCGAGCACCGGGGGGGGCGCUUGCCCGGCAGACCCC
ensembl:lncRNA